rnacentral:lncRNA from 1 species
UUUUGGCAGGUGUUUGGUGUUUGCGAAUGGCUGAGAUUGGAUUGAAUGAAUUAAGUUACAAUUGGGGUCUAUGUAAACAGUUAUUGUUUUUUGGUCUGUACCGCCGUAUAUCGUGUGAGUUUUGGUUUUGGGUUGUUUCGAGUGGAUGUUUCCAUGCGGACGGUGCCGUGACUGCUGUACCGUUAUUAAUUGUCUUGUUUCUUUUGUCCUCUUUUAGUAUUUCUAUUGCUUCUGUCAUUAAAGACUGUGAUUUUCUUAUUAUCGGUUUUAUUAUUUUGGCGUUGUCCCAAUGUAUCUUAAUGUUGUUUGCA